UGGCAUUUAGACUACGUCAUCCUACUGCUUUCUGUCUCCCAUGGUUUCUCAUGAGAAAAAUAGUAACUUUACAGUAAAGACAACUGGCAGAUACCACUCUAAGUGAUCCAGGAGAAAUAAGAAGAUUAGAAACACAGAGACAGGGACAUGACCAUGUGAACACCCAUGUGAAGAUGGAGGCAGAGACUGAAGUUAUUCUGCCACAAGGCAAGGAAUGCCAGGAGACACCAGAUUCUGGGAGAGGCAAAUAAAGAUUCUCCCCUAAAGCCAUCAGUGUGAGUGUGGCCAUGUCAACACCUUGAUUUAAGAUUGCUGAUGCCAGAAC
rnacentral:lncRNA from 1 species